rnacentral:rRNA from 1 species
CUAGUAAUGGCAGGUCAGCAUACUGCCGUGAAUACGUUCCCGGGCCUUGUACACACCGCCCGUCACACCAUGAGAGUUGGGAAUACCCGAAGCCUGUGAGCUAACUUUAGAGGCAGCAGUCGAAGGUAGAAUCAAUGAUUGGGGUGAAGUCGUAACAAGGUAUC